rnacentral:rRNA from 1 species
ACGGGGGGGGCAAGCGUUGUUCGGAAUUACUGGGCGUAAAGGGCUCGUAGGUGGCCAACUAAGUCGGACGUGAAAUCCCUCGGCUUAACCGAGGAACUGCGUCCGAUACUGGUUGGCUUGAGUUUGGGAGAGGGAUGCGGAAUUCCAGGUGUAGCGGUGAAAUGCGUAGAUAUGCGGAGGAACACCGAUGGCGAAGGCAGCUCCCUGGACCUGUACUGACGCUCAUGCACGAAAGCGUGGGGAGCAAACAGGA